rnacentral:snRNA from 1 species
AUACUUACCUUAUCUGGCCGUUUGGGGAUCAAGAAAUCCGGGCGGCAGAGAGGGAGGCCUGCAUUGCACAUCGCGGAGUCGACCUCUCUCGAUUGUCCUUCGGGGCCAUCGUGGGUGCAAUUUUUGAUUUUUGCCUGUCGCAAGACAACCUU